CUCCUGCUCCUCCUUCUCCGCGUCCCCGACCACCUCCUACCCGUCGUCGUCGCACUCGCAGCGACACCAGCCGCAGAGGCCCGUGGUGACGUCCUCCUCGGUAUCCCCUCCAGCCGGGUGGCUCCGCACCGCAUCCGGCCCCGGCCCCGGAUCCGACGCAACUCACACAUCUCCAGGCGCUCGCAGAAUCCCACCCGACGCCAUCAGCGCCCGCCAUGCCAUGCCCCAGAAGCCCGUCCACGGUUGCUGCUCCAAUCCCUUCCGCGGAUGCCGCAUAAUCCCAACUGACGCAGCUCCGCCUCAAGUCGUCCUUCUCAGGCGGCGGGUCCGGCCGUCCGGGUGCGUCGGCUUGGGCGGCACCGACGGGUCCUUCUUGGACAAAGCGCUAAUUGGAAUGCCUACUCGCACUAUGCUGCUGCCUGAGCCUUGAAUUAUUUCCAGGCUAUAUAAACAUAUCUGGUAAAAGGCCUUGGGAUUUUUUCUGAGAUAAGGGGAUCUUACGAAGCGGAUCCACAAGCUGCAAUCACCAAGUUUUUCCGGCUGCACCGGCUACAUCUGCAUAUCGCGAUGUUUAUAUAGACAUCUGGUUUACUGCACUAGCAAAUGGUUAAUUUAGUAAAGAUGGCAAAGAAGAAUUUAAUGAAGUUUAACCUAUAAGCAGACAAUGGCUUCCAAUACAUGUGCACAGAAUUUACAGAAGCAGGAAACACAUUUUCAACUCGUGAGAACCAAAGGCACCAAAUUACCAGACGACAUAAAGCGUACCUUUCCUGAUUUGAUUACGCUUGUUGGGAGGGAGUCCUAAUAGAUAGUUUCAGUAACCCUUCUUUUAAUGGUAGAUAUAGAAUGGACUGGACUAGAGUUUCCAUUCUGCUUUGCUGCUGGACCGAGCUUUGUUGGUGAAGUCCUCGCUGGUGUUGGUGAACACUUAUAAAGCUUUGGUGGUGAUCUUCUUUCUGUAGCAGAUUCCUUUUUGCUCUCCUUUGGCAUUUGCUUCUUGACUACAACACAACCAUUUGGACUAGGUGAAGCGCCACCAUUCUUGCGUGUGUCCUUGCUAAUUUCUUGCUUUGUGGAAACUAACUUACUAUUACCAGUAGAUGUAUUAUUUGGCAUUCCUGAAAGUAAUCAUCAAGCAUUGUUUUUUAACCUUUUCAGAAGAUAUGGAUAGUUUUUUUGGUUCAAACCGUUGUAUGUAUAAAAUUCAUAAGAGCUCAC